AUUGAACGCUGGCGGCAUGCCUUACACAUGCAAGUCGAACGGCAGCGGGGACUUCGGUCCGCCGGCGAGUGGCGAACGGGUGAGUAAUGUAUCGGAACGUACCAUUCAGUGGGGGAUAACUAUCCGAAAGGAUAGCUAAUACCGCAUAUUCUGUGAGCAGGAAAGCAGGGGAUCGCAAGACCUUGCGCUGAUUGAGCGGCCGAUAUAAGAUUGGCUAGUUGGUGGGGUAAAGGCUCACCAAGGCGACGAGCUGGAGCGGGUUUGAGAGGGUGAUCCGCCACACUGGAACUGAGCCACGGUCCAGGCUCCUACGGGAGGCAGCAGUGGGGAAUUUUGGACAAUGGGGGCAACCCUGAUCCAGCCAUGCCGCGCGAGUGAAGAAGGCCUUCGGGUUGUAAAGCUCUUUCGGCCGGGAAAAAAUCGCAUGGGUUAAUACCCUGUGUGGAUGAUGGUACCGGAAUAAGAAGCACCGGCUAACUACGUGCCAGCCGCCGCCGUAAAAC
rnacentral:rRNA from 1 species